rnacentral:rRNA from 1 species
GACGAACGCUGGCGGCGUGCUUAACACAUGCAAGUCGAACGGAAAGGCCCUGCUUUUGUGGGGUGCUCGAGUGGCGAACGGGUGAGUAACACGUGAGUAACCUGCCCUUGACUUUGGGAUAACUUCAGGAAACUGGGGCUAAUACCGUAUAGGAGCUCCUGCUGCAUGGUGGGGGUUGGAAAGUUUCGGCGGUUGGGGAUGGACUCGCGGCUUAUCAGCUUGUUGGUGGGGUAGUGGCUUACCAAGGCUUUGACGGGUAGCCGGCCUGAGAGGGUGACCGGCCACAUUGGGACUGAGGUACGGCCCAGACUCCUACGGGAGGCAGCAGUGGGGAAUAUUGCACAAUGGGCGGAAGCCUGAUGCAGCAACGCCGCGUGCGGGAUGACGGCCUUCGGGUUGUAAACCGCUUUCGCCUGUGACGAAGCGUGAGUGACGGUAAUGGGUAAAGAAGCACCGGCUAACUACGUG